rnacentral:rRNA from 1 species
UACGAAGGGUGCAAACGUUGCUCGGAAUCAUUGGGCGUAAAGCGCACGUAGGCGGCUUCAAAAGUCGGAUGUGAAAUCCCACGGCUCAACCGUGGACGUGCAUCCGAAACUGGGAGGCUUGAGUACUGAAGAGGAUCGCGGAAUUCCCGGUGUAGAAGUGAAAUUCGUAGAUAUCGGGAGGAACACCAGUGGCGAAGGCGGCGAUCUGGGCAGAUACUGACGCUGAGGCGCGAAAGCGUGGGGAGCAAACAGG